rnacentral:rRNA from 1 species
UAAUUUAAUGGCCGCGGUAUUUUGACUGUGCAAAGGUAGCAUAAUCAUUAGCUUAUUAAUUGUGAGCUUGUAUGAAUGGUUAAACGAAACAUUUUCUGUCUUUUAUUUAUUUAUUGAAAUUAAAUAUUUAGUUAAAAUGCUUAAAUUUUUUUAUUGGACGAGAAGACCCUAUAGAUCUUUAUUAAUUUUAUUUUCUUAUAUUUUAGAUUAAAUUUUUAUUUAUUUGAUUUUAAUUUUGUUGGGGUGAUGCUAGAAUAUGAUUAACUUCUAGUUUAAAUUUUUACAUUGAUUUUUGAUUUUUUGAUUUUGUUUUAUUGAUUUUAAGAUGUAGAUACCUUAGGGAUAACAGCGUAAUUUCCUUUGAAAGUUCUUAUUGACAAGGAAGAUUGCGACCUCGAUGUUGGAUUAAGAUUACUAUUAGGUGUAGGUGUUUAAAUAGUAGGUCUGUUCGACCUUUAAAAUCUUACAUGAUCUGAGUCA